GUAUUACAUCAAUUAAAAAAUGUUAGGAAGUUGAUUACUUGUCAUGGAAAAGUAUACCAAUGGAAAUUAUUUGUUAAAGAAGUAUAAUUCUAAGGGUUUUAAGAAUAAAUUGGUUGAACCCAAAAUCUGGAGGAAGUACCUAUAUCCAUACACAGAAUAUGCCCAUUAAAAAUAGUAGCCCAAAUUUGCUUUAAUGGAACAAUUAGGGCCCGAUAUAUUUGAAACUCAUGUUGGACAUAGUAUUGAGUUGGGUAGAAUAUUAUUCUACGUUAAGUGAGGAUAUCAGAUACCUAUUAUUGUUCUGUAUUUUAAUAUAUACAUUAGAAUUGUUGGUUUUUUCAUAUUUGUUUUAUUUAUUAUUUUACUUACAAGUUAUAUAAAGUUAACACUGAAAUCUACUUUUUGACUUGUAUAAGUUAGUCUGUGGUUUAAUGCGUGAUUACAUCCACAUGAUUUCAAGUUUUUAAAAUAUAAAUAUUAUAACUGGCUUCAAAAACUCCAUUAAACUGUUAAAAGUGUAAUUUAUUUCAAAAUAAAUAUACAUAUAUAGGUAUAUAUUAAUAUCGAAAAACAUUUUUAUUUCCUUAACACCAAUUUAAUCAUCACAUACAUAUGUAUAAACAUUUAUUUACGUUAUUUCAAAUGAAGACCACAGGAAAAACCAGCUUUAUUCAUUUUAACUGAAGCCGAGAAAAUGCAAUUACGAGUGAACUACUCUGGUUUUUCUCCUGUAGGG